AAUGAACGCUGGCGGCGCGCCUAAUACAUGCAAGUCGAGCGAGAAGACGUAGCAAUACGUUUGUAAAGCGGCGAACGGGUGAGGAAUACAUGGGUAACCUACCCUCGAGUGGGGAAUAACUAGCCGAAAGGUUAGCUAAUACCGCGUACGCUCCUUGGACUUCGGUUCAGGGAGGAAAGCGAUACCGUGGGUAUCGCGCUCUUGGUUGGGCUCAUGUCCUAUCAGCUUGUUGGUGAGGAACGGCUCACCAAGGCUUCGACGGGUAGCUGGUCUGAGAGGACGAUCAGCCACACUGGCACUGCGACACGGGCCAGACUCCUACGGGAGGCAGCAGUAAGGAAUACUGCGCAAUGGGCGAAAGCCUGACGCAGCGACGCCGC
rnacentral:rRNA from 1 species